AUUCAGUAACAUCAAUCAUUCAAAACCUUUUUAAAAUCUAAACGUGUGUCCCAUAUUAUCCGGAACACUUUUAUCGCUUGGUUUUCGUUUAAUUUUAUGACGGACAUUGAAAAAAUAAAAUGUGUUUCCUCUGUUUUGCCUAUACGACGAUCUAACAAAUACAUUGGGGUUAGGUUAACUUUUAUGUCUGAUGUUUUUAAGUUUUAGCUGAUUCUGGGCGUGUAGUGAGGAAACUAUG